GGACUGAAUCAUGGUGGGGAAUUAAUGUGAAAUUCAUUAGCUGUUCCUGCAACGGUUAAAGUCCGAGUGCCACCCAGUAAAGUCCGGUGUUGAACGAAGGCCAGGAAAAGUCUAGUUCUGCAAUUAAAGU
rnacentral:ncRNA from 1 species